rnacentral:rRNA from 1 species
CCGUAACUGACGUUCAUGCUCGAAAGUGUGGGUAUCAAACAGGAUUAGAUACCCUGGUAGUCCACACGGUAAACGAUGGAUACUCGCUGUUGGCGAUAUACGGUCAGCGGCUUAGCGAAAGCGUUAAGUAUCCCACCUGGGGAGUACGCCGGCAACGGUGAAACUCAAAGGAAUUGACGGGGGCCCGCACAAGCGGAGGAACAUGUGGUUUAAUUCGAUGAUACGCGAGGAACCUUACCCGGGCUUAAAUUGCAAAGGAAUAAUCUGGAAACAGGUUAGUCUUCGGACCUUUGUGAAGGUGCUGCAUGGUUGUCGUCAGCUCGUGCCGUGAGGUGUCGGCUUAAGUGCCAUAACGAGCGCAACCCUCGCCGCCAGUUACUAACAGUUAAAGCUGAGGACUCUGGCGGGACUGCCAUCGUAAGAUGUGAGGAAGGUGGGGAUGACGUCAAAUCAGCACGGCCCUUACGUCCGGGGCUACACACGUGUUACAAUGGGCGGUACAGAAGGCAGCUACCUGGCGACAGGAUGCCAAUCCCUAAAGCCGCUCUCAGUUCGGACUGGAGUCUGCAACCCGACUCCACGAAGCUGGAUUCGCUAGUAAUCGCGCAUCAGCCACGGCGCGGUGAAUACGUUCCCGGGCCUUGUACACACCGCCCGUCAAGCCAUGAAAGCCGGGGGUACCUGAAGUGCGUAACCGCAAGGAGCGCCCUAGGGUAAAACCGGUAAUUGGGGCUAAGUCGUAACAAGGUAGCCGUACCGGAAGGUGCGGCUGGAACACCUCCUUUCUGGAGC